GAUGAACGCUGGCGGCGUGCCUAAUACAUGCAAGUCGAGCGAACAGACGAGGAGCUUGCUCCUCUGACGUUAGCGGCGGACGGGUGAGUAACACGUGGAUAACCUACCUAUAAGACUGGGAUAACUUCGGGAAACCGGAGAUAAUACCGGAUAAUAUAUUGAACCGCAUGGUUCAAUAGUGAAAGACGGUUUUGCUGUCACUUAUAGAUGGAUCCGCGCCGCAUUAGCUAGUUGGUAAGGUAACGGCUUACCAAGGCAACGAUGCGUAGCCGACCUGAGAGGAUGAUCAGCCACACUGGAACUGAGACACGGUCCAGACUCCUACGGGAGGCAGCAGUAGGGAAUCUUCCGCAAAGGGCGAAAGCCUGACGGAGCAACGCCGCGUGAGUGAUGAAGGUCUUCGGAUCGUAAAACUCUUUUAUUAGGGAAGAACAAAUGUGUAAGUAACUAUGCACGUCUUGACGGUACCUAAUCAGAAAGCCACGGCUAACUACGUG
rnacentral:rRNA from 1 species